GUCCUAGCUUCGGCUGGACAUAUACUAAAAUUGGAACGAUACAGAGAAGAUUAGCAUGGCCCCUGCGCAAGGAAAUAAAUUUUCAUUCAAGAACAUGUAAAAUUUUGU